GACGAACGCUGGCGGCGUGCCUAAUACAUGCAAGUUGAGCGCUGAAGGUUGGUACUUGUACCAACUGGAUGAGCAGCGAACGGGUGAGUAACGCGUGGGGAAUCUGCCUUUGAGCGGGGGACAACAUUUGGAAACGAAUGCUAAUACCGCAUAAAAACUUUAAACACAAGUUUUAAGUUUGAAAGAUGCAAUUGCAUCACUCAAAGAUGAUCCCGCGUUGUAUUAGCUAGUUGGUGAGGUAAAGGCUCACCAAGGCGAUGAUACAUAGCCGACCUGAGAGGGUGAUCGGCCACAUUGGGACUGAGACACGGCCCAAACUCCUACGGGAGGCAGCAGUAGGGAAUCUUCGGCAAUGGACGAAAGGCUGACCGAGCAACGCCGCGGGAGUGAAGAAGGGUGUCGGAUCGUAAAACUCUGUUGGUAGAGAAGAACGUUGGUGAGAGUGGAAAGCUCAUCAAGUGACGGUAACUACACAGAAAGGGACGGCUAACUACGUG
rnacentral:rRNA from 1 species